rnacentral:lncRNA from 1 species
AAAGAAGCUCUAGGUGGUCUUUUGUACGCGUAACCCUAAACCAUGGUUGGUGGUAAUGGUUAGUCUUAUAGUCAUCUCCUUAAUAGGCAUGUUCCCAUUGCUUGCAUCUAGCUCUAUAUAGCGCCACUAACCCUUUCGAACCCAUCUCCUCCACCUUGUCUUUUCUUCUGCAACAAAAGAAUAGCUUACAUAUAUAUAUUUAUAUAUCCAUAAAUAUAGAGCGAGAGGGAUGUGGAUGCUACUAUUUGACAAAACAAAAGAGGAGGAAAGAUGACUUUCACUGGCUAGCUAGUUAGCCAGCUACUACUGACUACUAGCUCUUAGUUUAGUCUCCUUAUUUAAUAGAGAGAGAGAGAGAGAGAGAUGGUAUUGA